ensembl:lncRNA
AAGCCAGGAAAAGCUGGUUCCUGACUUAAUGUGGGAGGGCUGACUUGCUGAAAACAGCACCACAGACACAGCACGAUAUGUAACUGAUCUACUUAUAACCCUUAUGUAAAUGCUGUUUACCCACCACUCAAAGUGUCAUUUAGGAUUUGCAGACAAUCCCUGGUGUUCAUGCAAAGUUUACUCAGGUCAGUGUGCUGUCUCAUACUUUUUUUCCUCCUGCAUUUUCUGGGGUCACUCACUUGGUUGCUAAUGAAUACCCCUCAUGCGAGCAUGGAGCAGGCAUCAACCUAACACCUACUCAUGCUACGCUGUAUAUAAAGAAAUUAAGCCUCUGCACAGACUGUCGCCAGUAGAAAAUGAAAGAGAAAACAGGUAUUGAGCAACAGUUUAUGAAAAAGUAUAAUAUAAAAAUUAUUAAAACUAGUAUCGGUGAAGAAACAAACACAGGUAAAAAACAACAACAACACAAAAAGCAUUAGCAACAGUAAGCAUGUGAGUGCAAACUAAGAAAAAAAUAACAUAUUGAGAAAGAAAAAAACUUCUAGAUCUCCCUACAUUAUCAUCCCCAGAACAAUGCCACUGUGGCUAGAAACAACACACAAAUGACACUGGGGUUACUGUGAUUGAAUACCACAGACUUUGUAGGGGUGUGGAGUGGGGUCAUAUUAACAAACCAUUCAAAUUUGCAUGGAUGAAAGCAAACAUCUGCCUUGCUACCCCUGAUCUGAUUUUUACUACGCUACAAACUUCUUAAAGUAUGGUUAAAAGAACAAAGAAAAAAAAACAUAUAGAAAAUGAAAUACUGUUCUCUUAAAAGCAACUACUGCCCUAAGAGUGAGCUGCUUUGCCAGAGGCAUGCCCAGAUCAUCGAGUUACAGACCCUUGGGCACAAAUGUUUGAUGGGCCCUAGCCAGCUUGUUUUGAGGAUCAGACUUUUUUACUUUCUUCAGAAAUCAUGUCAUACAGGAAUGUCUGUAUACCUGUACACAGAAUAUAGCUCCAAAUGGGGAAGCUGUAUCUUACUAAAAAAUAAAAGUAACCAUCACAAUACAACUUUACUAAAAACCUAAGUGCCAUAUAUUAAUUGGAAAAAUAAGCUGCCAGAACUUUAUUGUUAUCUUCCUCUCUCAUUCUCUCUCUGUCUGUCUGUUUUACUUCUGAUCUCCUCCUCAAAAUCCAAAGUCCAGUAUGGGAUACAUACUGGAAUUUAAAAGGAUAGAAAGAAAGUCCUGACCCAAUUGAGUUAGUAACACUCCA